rnacentral:rRNA from 1 species
AUUGAACGCUGGCGGCAGGCUUAACACAUGCAAGUCGAGCGGAGUGAUGGUGCUUGCACCAUCACUUAGCGGCGAACGGGUGAGUAAUGCCUAGGAACCUGCCCAUUAGCGGGGGACAACGUGUGGAAACGCACGCUAAUACCGCAUACGCCCUACGGGGGAAAGCAGGGGACUCUUUGGAGCCUUGCACUAAUGGAUGAGCCUAGGUCGGAUUAGCUAGUUGGUGGGGUAAAGGCCUACCAAGGCGACGAUCUGUAGCGGGUCUGAGAGGAUGAUCCGCCACACUGGAACUGAGACACGGUCCAGACUCCUACGGGAGGCAGCAGUGGGGAAUAUUGGACAAUGGGGGCAACCCUGAUCCAGCCAUGCCGCGUGUGUGAAGAAGGCCUUUUGGUUGUAAAGCACUUUAAGCGAGGAGGAGGCUACUGGUACUAAUAUUACCAGCUAGUGGACGUUACUCGCAGAAUAAGCACCGGCUAACUCUGUGCCAGCAGCCGCGGUAAUACAGAGGGUGCGAGCGUUAAUCGGAAUUACUGGGCGUAAAGCGCGCGUAGGCGGUUUGUUAAGUCGGAUGUGAAAUCCCCGGGCUCAACCUGGGAAUUGCAUUCGAUACUGGCAAGCUAGAGUAUGGGAGAGGAAGGUAGAAUUCCAGGUGUAGCGGUGAAAUGCGUAGAGAUCUGGAGGAAUACCGAUGGCGAAGGCAGCCUUCUGGCCUAAUACUGACGCUGAGGUGCGAAAGCAUGGGGAGCAAACA